rnacentral:rRNA from 1 species
UACGAAGGAUUCGAGCGUUAUCCGGAUUUAUUGGGUUUAAAGGGUGCGUAGGUGGAUUAAUAAGUCAGUGGUGAAAGCCCGCAGCUAAACUGCGGAACUGCCAUUGAUACUGUUAAUCUUGAGUACAGUUGAGGUGGGCGGAAUGUGUCAUGUAGCGGUGAAAUGCUUAGAUAUGACACAGAACACCGAUUGCGAAGGCAGCUCACUAAGCUGUAACUGACACUGAUGCACGAAAGCGUGGGGAGCAAACAGG